GGGGACGCGCGGGUUCGACAGGAGCGUCCUGUGGCAGAUUGCAAGCCGAGGCGCCACCGCCCUCGUUAAUCAGGUGGCACACAAAUAACUGGCGAACGUGAAUUCGCUCUAGCCGCCUAAGCGCGGCUACGUCCGUACCCUGCUAUUCCCGGAUGCGGGGCUACGGGCGCCAACAGACCGGGAUGCGGCGUCCUCGAUGCCGAUAGGGGCUGUCUAAGACUUUUCGGCUGGCCUGAAGGAAAUUUCGCCGGCGGAAGCGCCAUCAGGUGAGACAUUAAUCGCCGGACAAGCUUGUAGCACAUCUAGCCAGGGGGCCUUUUGGACGGGGAGUUCGACUCUCCCCCGUCUCCACCU
rnacentral:tmRNA from 1 species